UACGUAGGGUGCGAGCGUUGUCCGGAAUUAUUGGGCGUAAAGAGCUUGUAGGCGGUUUGUCGCGUCUGCUGUGAAAAUCCGGGGCUCAACCCCGGACUUGCAGUGGGUACGGGCAGACUAGAGUGUGGUAGGGGAGACUGGAAUUCCUGGUGUAGCGGUGAAAUGCGCAGAUAUCAGGAGGAACACCGAUGGCGAAGGCAGGUCUCUGGGCCACUACUGACGCUGAGAAGCGAAAGCAUGGGGAGCGGACAGG
rnacentral:rRNA from 1 species